AGAGAAAGAUGCUAAACUGUUUUUGCGAUAUGUUCCUAAUAUGCACUAUAACUAUAUUGGGAACAUUUUGCAUGCAUAGUUUUGUGUCAGUGUACGGA
ensembl:miRNA MIR450A1 microRNA 450a-1